UACAGAGGGGGCAAGCGUUAUUCGGAAUUAUUGGGCGUAAAGGGCGCGUAGGCGGCAUGGCAAGUGGAUGGUGAAAUCCCUCGGCUUAACCGAGGAACUGCCGUCCAAACUGCUUCGCUUGAGACCGGGAGAGGUGAGUGGAAUUCCCAGUGUAGCGGUGAAAUGCGUAGAUAUUGGGAAGAACACCGGUGGCGAAGGCGGCUCACUGGCUCGUAACUGACGCUCAUGCACGACAGCGUGGGGAUCAAACAGG
rnacentral:rRNA from 1 species